GAUCAUGGCUCAGGACGAACGCUGGCGGCGUGCUUAACACAUGCAAGUCGAACGAAAAGAGGGAAGAGCUUGCUCUUCCCGGAAUUGAGUGGCAAACGGGUGAGUAACACGUAAACAACCUGCCUUCAGGAUGGGGACGAACAGACGGAAACGACUGCUAAUACCGAAUAAGUUCCAAGAGCCGCAUGGCCCAUGGAAGAAAAGGUGGCCUCUACCUGUAAGCUAUCGCCUGAAGAGGGGUUUGCGU
rnacentral:rRNA from 1 species